CUAAGAAGCUUUUUUGUAUGUAUUAUUUCCUUCAAUCAAUUUCAAGCCUUGUACAAGUCCUCAUCUAUGCCAAAUUCUGAUACCUAUGCCUUAAAUGGUUUGGUACAAUACAUAUUGACUUGGUGUAAAUAAUAUAAUUUCGAAUUUUUGAGGCUGUAGAUGUAGUCUCCAUUUAUAAUCAAAAAUCGAUUUUUAAGGUGCAAUUGUGUUAAAAUGUCACUUAUUUUGA
rnacentral:lncRNA from 1 species